AGUCCUUUAUGGGGACCAAAUUUCCCCACAAGAAAUUGAGCGCAUGGUUGCUUUUGCGGCCCAAAAGAAUGAAUAUUAGAAAACAUUUAAAAAAAGUCUAAGUUUGCUCUGAGCGCUUGUGUUGUUUACCAAGAAAAUGCAGCGCUGUUGGUUUUUAGUUCUGUAUCGCAUCGUGGUGAGUUUCGAUUUCUUGGUUAUUCGGUUUGUGAAAUGACUAUUAAUUACAAGCACAGCAUCAUCAACGGUGAUUGCAAGAACUACUGCAAUCCCUGCGGUUUUUCCUCUUGGUAAAUGCAUUCUGGUCGUGACCAAGGGUGGUCUCCCAAAUCGGCUGGGAAUAAGGUUAGUCAUUUUAAAUUUUAUAUCUUUGUUCGUCGACAUUAUAUGACAUGUCAUCAUUGCAGGCUAUUGUUGCAGAACAAAACGCCGCAACCACUGCUGUGGUAAAUAUGUUCCAGCAGAGCUGCCCACCCCGUCGGUGUAAUGAUUUCGAUAGCUGAACAAACGCCAUCUCCUGGGCAUUCCCACAGCUUGCCGACACUAGCUAUUAUAUCACGUGUGAAUGCAACUGCGGCUUAAUUUGGUUAUUAACAGUGCAAUAGCAGAGAACGUUUAUAAAUGAGAGGGCGCAUUUUCUGUGUGAACUAAUUGGUGCCAGAAAUUUUGGGGUGCAGUCGGCCAAAUAUACCACUCGUCGACAAAGUGCACCACUCGACCGACGGUGUCGGCAGAGAAGUGUCGACUGCCACCAUACCAAAAAUUUUUCCGUGCCACCACACUUCGAGCAAAUUUACUAUAGUUCAAAGCAAAAUGAAAAAAUAAGAACGAAAAAGGAAAGAGGAACAGAAAUAUAAUAAGCACUAGGCAGAGGGGAUGCUUGCGGAGGCAGGCGCGUGCUUGUAUCGGAUCAAAACAAACUCUAAAAUAAAAAUGGAAGUCAGAACGACAAGUGUACAGAAGAAGCGGGGAAACGGGGAAAGGAGCGGGUUUUUGUACAUUUGCUUGCUUGCCGAAAAUAUAUUUGCGUGAAAUCGAUUUGCUGAUUGUUGCAAAUUGAUUUUUGCAAACAUGUAUGAAUUUUUCUAUUUCAGCUAAGUUGAUAAGAUUUUCUAUGGCAUUUUUUUUUACUUUUUUCUGAUGGCAUUUUUCUUUGUGCAUACGAGCGAAAAAGCAUUUACGCACAUAUAUUCUUUGGUACGUAAAUGUAGAUAUGUCAACGAAAAUUAAAAAAUUUUGGAUAUUCGUACUUGCAAAAUCGAUAGUACAUGUAGCCAGUAAGAUGCAUGAAUUUUAAUAAGUGCUGUGGCAUAGUUGGUUGAUGCGUGGCGAUAAACGAUACUUUGCUGCAGUUGUUGUCAGGGUUCAUAUCCUACCCGAGGCGGUUAUUUUUUAUGAAUUUAUUUCUAAAAUAAAAUAAAGAAUAAUUUCGCGGUUGAAA